ensembl:lncRNA
CCACACUCAAUUACAACAAACAAACCUCUUGCAGGCUGUGUUCAAUAACUACAGGCAGAUGCAUGGUGAGAUGCCAGAGGACGCUUUGAAUAGGAAUCCUCACAGCUGGUCUUCUCUAUGUUGCAUGUUCAGCUGCAAACUGGACAUCUCUCAAACAACUGCAGCAGGGAGUCCUCAUAAACAAUAUACUUCCUCAACUUAUGAGGUGGUGUUGACUAUUAGGGCCUGUGACAAGGUGAUACAGUAGACAGCCAAGUGGUGAAUUGCAUUUUGUUAUCAAGAAAGAACAAAGCUUUUUGAUAAUGCACUUCACAACCAAAAUGACUCUACUACUUGUAUCUGCUUGGCUGGUUAAUUAAUCUACUAGUUCAUCAAACCGGGAGUCAAGGGAGACACUGGCAGCAACGGAGGUGGUGUCACAGGGG